CCCCAGCAAGCUAUGAAGAUUUGGUUUAUGUCUAACAACUUGUACAACAAGAUAAACUUAGAUCCAAAAGGAUUGCAAUCCAGAUAAUUGUUUGACAUGUAAAGUCGAUAAGAUGAGUCAGUGCCAAUUAUCAUGUUUUCGUCACUCUUAGAUGAUAUGUACAAUAAAAGGCAACUUUGAUGACCACUCCAAAAUUACAUUUGUAUGUAGUGCCACCAAACACAACACACCAAAUAAUCAGUUUGAUAAGCAUCAAAUCACUUUAAAAAAAUAAAAGCUAUAAUGAAAAGAAACCUAACCAUGGUAGCUAUAAAAAGGAUGCAAUAUGUAGACUCCAUACCAUCAUCCAUCCUUCACACAACUAGAGCACAAGUAUCAAAUCCAAUUAAGUAGUAGCCAACACAAAUCCACCAUGAAGACCUUAUUCAUCCUAACAAUCCUUGCGAUGGCAACAACUAUCGCCACCGCGAAUAUGCAGGUCGACCCCAGCGGCCAAGUACAAUGGCCACAACAACAACCAUUCCGCCAGCCCCAACAACCAUUCUACCAGCAACCACAACACACAUUUCCCCAACCCCAACAAACAUUCCCCCAUCAACCACAACAACAAUUUCCCCAGCCCCAGCAACCACAACAACAAUUUCCGCAGCCCCAGCAACCACAACAACCAUUUCCCCAGCCCCAACAAGCCCAACUACCAUUUCCCCAACAACCACAACAACCAUUCCCCCAGCCUCAACAACCCCAACAACCAUUUCCCCAGUCACAGCAACCACAACAACCUUUUCCCCAGCCCCAACAACCGCAACAAUCAUUCCCCCAGCAACAACAACCGUUGAUUCAGCCAUAUCUACAACAACAGAUGAACCCUUGCAAGAAUUACCUCUUACAGCAAUGCAACCCUGUGUCAUUGGUGUCAUCCCUCGUGUCAAUGAUCUUGCCACGAAGUGAUUGCCAGGUGAUGCAGCAACAAUGUUGCCAACAACUAGCACAGAUUCCUCGCCAGCUCCAGUGUGCAGCCAUCCAUAGCGUCGUGCAUUCCAUCGUCAUGCAGCAAGAACAACAACAAGGCAUACAGAUCCUCCGGCCACUGUUUCAGCUCGUCCAAGGUCAGGGCAUCAUCCAACCUCAACAACCAGCUCAAUAUGAGGUGAUCAGGUCAUUGGUAUUGAGAACCCUUCCAAACAUGUGCAACGUGUAUGUCCGACCUGACUGCUCCACCAUCAACGCACCAUUUGCCAGCAUAGUCGCCGGCAUCAGUGGACAAUGAAAAAUGAAGAGUUAUGCUAAUAGGUAGAUGGAUCAUCGUUGCUUAGCUGAUGCACCAGUCUUUGUAGCGAUGAGGAAUAAAGUGGCGUGCACCAUCAUGUGUGACCCCGACCAGAGCUAGUUCAAGCUUCAGAAUAAAACACAAACAAAGUUCUUGUUUGCUAGCUUCGCUUUUCACUGUUCCAUUUACUUUUUAUUUUCAUGUUCGUUCCUAACCGCAAUCCUAGCCUUACACAUCAAUAGCUAGCUACUUCUGCUGGCAGGUUACUAUUUAAUCUAUCGAUUAAUGGUCGAUGUAUUAAUCCAGUUAAUAGGUUGAUUGAUAUAUUAGUUACUGCUCCCAAGCCGACCGAGCGCUAUCAGUUAGGGAUUUCCUGAACAUUGCACACAAUAAUAAUUCAAUGUAUUUCAAUGUCUAGAAGUGAAAGGGCCAUUUUAGCACCAAAACAAGAGGCUGAUUAGAAACCAUCCAUCACUCUAAAUGUUAAUCUGAAUAUUUUUGCAUUGGUGCAAUUUUGAGUUUGGUGGCACCGAAGCAUUCUUCAAAAGCAAAUUUUAGGGGACUCCAAAGAGGUGAAAAUCAAACCAAAGUUGCCACAUGGUAAAAGAUAAACCAUGCGGUGAGCAAGAGAAAAUAAUUAGUCACAAUAGCAAGAACCAAACACUUGAUAUGAUUUCGUGCGGAGAUGGAAACAAUUUAUAUAUGACAAACAAAGCAUAAGUUGCAUUAGUUUUAAUUGAUUGUAGAAAUUUAUUUUACCUGUAGAAUAACUCAGUUGUUAUCUCUUUAAACAUGCAUUGUGAUAUUGACUUGUCUCAAUCUAUGAACACAAAGCAAAUAUUGCAUUUGCGGUUAUGGUCUCCAAACAGAUGAGAAAUCAGUCUGUGUAGAAAGUUCCUUAGAAGGAUAUUACUGAAUCAAGGAAAUAUUGUAGGAGUAAGAACUGGGGAAAGUAGUGGCUGCACCCACCCUCGGUGCACCCACGGUGCACUCACGCAAGAAAACAUAUCAGAACAUUUCGAAAAAAUCUGAAACUUCGUGGAGAUGAUCAUCAACAAAUGUCACGAGGGCUUGCAAAGUUUGGUGGUCAAAUAACAUUCAAGAAGCGCUCUACAAAAAAGACAAAAUUGCAAAAUCUGCUCAAACGGUGCACGUACAUUUUGACUAAUUUUCAGUGAUUUUGUCUUUUUUGUAGAGAGCUCCUCGAAUGUUAUUUGACCACCAAAUUUUGCAAGCCCCCAUAACAUUUGUUGAUGAUCAUUUCCACGAAGUUUCAGAUUUUUUCAAAAUGUUUUGAUAUGUUUUCUUGCGUGGGUGCACCGUGGGUGCACCGGGAGUGGGUGUAGAAGAACCACUCUCGUAAGAACUGGAAUGGGGAAAAACUGGAGCGCUUUAUCCAGCCUCCUCUCUAUAUUCUACAUGGAUAUCGUCUGUUACAUCUUAGCCCCCAACUGUUACAUGUUCACACAUUUAUAUAACUCAACAGGAUAUAAUAGUUUUGAGCUAAACAAAUUUACUAUUGUACUCAUGUCUUGCAUAGUUAAAGUUGAAAAUCAACGUAAGUAGUGGAUAGUUUGAAAGACAAGUGUGGGAAACAAAUAGUAGGAUAUAAAUUUGAGUAGAAUGUGUGAUCAAUUGUUGACCACAUAGCCCAGCAAACUACUAAAACUAAGAAAAACAAGAUAUUCUACCUUGUACAAACUGUCACAUUGAUAAAACUAUGAUUUGUUUUUGAAAAAUCUGUAGCCCGGAACUAAUAUAAAUUCAAACAAAUCUGUCACAGAUCCCUGAGCCCAUCCAAAAAUUAAUGGUAGUGGAAACUGAAAGAACUAUUAACACGAUUAGACCCAAAUGAUCUAUGUUCCAACAAUUAAUGAUAUUUGAAACUAAAACACGAGUGUUCUAUGUUCUACUACCUAUGUGUAUAAAUAUAAGACGUUUGGCGGUUUAAAAUGAACUGCCAAAAUGUCCUAUAUUAAGGAACAGCGGGUGUACCAAGUAUAUUCUAUGGUCCAAAUUUGUUCAUGUAAAGUGUAUCUUUAACUGAUGCCCUAAAAAAUAGCGGUGUAAUUAGCCGAGUAAAAGAUUUGUGGAGUAAAUUUACUCAACUAACUUUUGGCUGCACCUAACGGAUCUCCUAAAUUUAGCAGAAGUAAUAUUUUCUUGUCACAUUCAUUUCAUUUUCAGCCACUGAAAUAUAUCGGAAUACACAAUUAACAAAUUCUUCAUGAAAAAAAUGAAACCAAAAAAACUAAAACCACAAUUAGACACUUUAAUAGAAAUUCAACUUCCAUAACUGCUGCUGAAAGUUGGUAAACAGAUUUCAGACUUAGUGAAAUUAACGCUUGUCUGGAAUUUCAGAUCAGAUAGCACUCUUUGGAGCAUGAAAACAAUAUGCUACAGGACCUGAACAUGACAAAGUAAAGCAUGGCAUGGAGCUACUCAAAGAGCUUAACAAAAGUCCCUUAGUGACCUUGAUCCAAAAUGGAUUAGAAAAUACAUUUGCAAGCAUGUGAACAUGGCAAAAACAUAAUCAGUUCUCAGACUUAGUGAAAACUGGAGCAUGCUAAAACAGAUAUCAAGUAAGCAUGUUUACGAGCUUGAUGCACUCACUACAGAGCAAGUCAUGACAAUCUAAGCAUACACACAUCAAGAAUACACAAAAUAAAAGCUAGACAUGGCACGAACAAUAACAUAGCAUGCACGGAUCAACUACAACAUCAUCGGCAAAAUUGCUAACAAGUAGACAAUCUGCCCAGAUUCACGAAAUAGCAAAAGUAGAGCUCGAUUGACUCAAUCUAGGGUGCUCCAUAAUUUCAAACAAAGACAUAUAUGGAUAGAGCACUACAAGAUUAACAAAACAUCUUUACUGAUCAUCCUCAAAAGAGGCACGGAUCACUAGGAAUCAACAUGAACAUAUGGCAUAUUGAGAUAACCAGCCAAGGACUUAGUGGAAAUGCCAAGUCCCUGAAAUCAGCAUUAACGAAUGCUCCACUUUGCAAGCUUGUGCUAGUCACCACACACAUCACAAAAAUACAUGGGUUGCACCUCUGGAUAGAUGGCAAAACAUGUAACAAAACUCAUGUAGAGCUCAGGGGCAUAUCAUGCACACAAUAAUCAUGGCAAAAAUGACAAAUAUCUAAUUGGAGCAUCAGAUCUGACAAUUAUCUCAAAUAGCACUCUUUCAACAGCAUUUCGGGCAUCAAGAUUAACUCAAAUGAAAAUGAUGCAAUGAGAUGAAAUGAUGUACUCUCUGAGAUGAACAUUUUGAUAUGCUAUAUGCCCAAAACGGAGCUACAUAUGCGGAGAUAUAGCAUGAUGAAAAACGCACAAAACUAGGGUUAGGGACGAAAAAGUCAACCAAGAGGGAGUUUCCAGAUCCAGAUCGGGAUCUCACGAGUACUGUAGCGGCACGGAGUACGAGGUUCGUCGCUGGAUUUGGGCCGGCCGGAGUUGGACGGCGAGGCGGCCGGAGAGAGGGAGGCGCCGGAGUGGGGCGGCACCGGCCGGUGAGGAGGAGGCGGCCGCGGUCGUCGACGAGGUAGCGCGGCGGGGUGGCGACCGGAGCGGCACGGUCGCCGGCGAGGUUGAGCUGCGGCGCGGUGGCAUGGAUCGCCGGAGACGGAGGAGAGGGGCGGCGCGGUGAGCCGGAGAGGAGGCGGGGCGGAGCGGGCCGCGGGGGCCGUGGUUGGGCCCGGCGGGCUUCUGCGAUGUGGGGUGCGCCGGCGCAAUGUGGCGGAGCGCGGUAGGUCGGGCGGCAGCGGGCGGACAUGUCCGGUCCGCUCCGGANNNNNNNNNNNNNNNNNNNNNNNNNNNNNNNNNNNNNNNNNNNNNNNNNNNNNNNNNNNNNNNNNNNNNNNNNNNNNNNNNNNNNNNNNNNNNNNNNNNNNNNNNNNNNNNNNNNNNNNNNNNNNNNNNNNNNNNNNNNNNNNNNNNNNNNNNNNNNNNNNNNNNNNNNNNNNNNNNNNNNNNNNNNNNNNNNNNNNNNNNNNNNNNNNNNNNNNNNNNNNNNNNNNNNNNNNNNNNNNNNNNNNNNNNNNNNNNNNNNNNNNNNNNNNNNNNNNNNNNNNNNNNNNNNNNNNNNNNNNNNNNNNNNNNNNNNNNNNNNNNNNNNNNNNNNNNNNNNNNNNNNNNNNNNNNNNNNNNGAGCUAGGAAGCUCCAAAUGGAGUCCGGUUUUCGGCCAUGCGAUUGUGAUUGAACGCUCUAGAUGAUGGAGAAGGUUUUGGUGGGUUUUGGGCCAAAAUGGAGAGGUGUUGGGUUGCAACACACCCGAGGCCUUUUCAGUCCCUCGGUUAACCGUUGGAGCAUCAAACGAAGUCCAAAUGGUACGAAACUUGACAGGCGGCCUACCGGUAGUAAACCAAGGCCGCUUGGCAAGUCUCGGUCCAAUCCGGAAAUGUUUAAUCCCCACACACGAAAGAAAGGUAGAAAUGACCACCGGAGGAGAACGGAGCGCCGGAAUGCAAAACGGACAACGGGGAAAAUGCUCGAAUGCAUGAGAUGAACACGUAUGCAAAUGCAGUGCACAUGACGACAUGAUAUGAGAUGCAUGACAACGAUAACAACACACGGAGACAAAGACCCGAACCCGAGAAAAUAAAAUAACUUAACGCCGGAAACGACAAGAGUUGGAGUACAUAUUGGGAAAAUCAUAUCCGGGGUGUUACAGUUUUCCUCUCCUCCACUUCACCCUUGCCGUUUUAUUCGCCCUCUCUCUCUAUCCUCCCUCUCUUUCUCUAUUUGCCUCUUUUUGCCCGUUUCUCGUUUGCUUCUGUGUUGGAUUGCUUGCUUGUCAUGAUGGCUCAAGAUAACAUUAAAUUGUGUGACUUUACCAAUACCAACAACAAUGAUUUUAUUAGCACUCUGAUUUCUCCUCUUACCGAUGCUGAAUCUUGUGAAAUUAAUGCUGCCUUGCUGAAUCUUGUCAUGAAAGAUCCAUUUUCCGGCCUUCCUAGUGAAGAUGCUGCUACCCAUCUAAAUAGCUUCGUUGAUUUGUGUGAUAUGCAAAAGAAGAAAGAUGUGGAUAAUGAUAUUGUUAAAUUGAAGCUAUUUCCUUUUUCUCUUAGAGUUCGUGCUAAAGCUUUGUUUUCGUCUUUGCCUAAAAUAGUUUUGAUUCGUGGAAUAAGUGCAAAGAUGCUUUUAUCUCUAAGUAUUUUCCUCCCGCUAAGAUCAUCUCUCUUAGAAACAAUAUUAUGAAUUUUAAGCAACUUGAUCAUGAACAUGUUGCACAAGCUUGGGAGAGGAUGAAAUUAAUGAUACGUAAUUGCCCAACACAUGGUUUGAAUUUGUGGAUGAUUAUACAAAAAAUUUACGCUGGAUUGAAUUUUUCUUAUAGAAAUCUUUUAGAUUCGGCCGCGGGAGGCACUUUUAUGGAAAUCACUUUAGGAGAAGCUACUAAACUCCUAGAUAAUAUUAUGGUUAAUUAUUCUUAAUGGCACACUGAAAGAUCUACUAAUAAAAAAGUGCAUGUGAUAGAAGAAAUUAAUGUUUUGAGUGGAAAGAUGGAUGACUUAUGAAAUUAUUUUUUAAUAAAAGUGUUUCUUCUGAUCCAAAUGAUACGCCUUUGUCUACUUUGAUUGAGAAUAAUAAUGAAUGUAAGGAUGUGAAUUUUGUUGGUAGGAACAAUUUUGGUAACAACGCGUAUAGAGAAAAUUUAAUCCUAGGCCUUAUCCUAGUAAUUCCUCUAAUAAUUAUGGUAAUUCCUACAACAAUUCUUAUGGAAAUUAUAAUAAUGCCCUCUGAUUUUGAAUAUAAUAUUAAAGAAUUUAUUAUUUCGCAAAAGAAUUUCAAUGCUUUGAUUGAAGAAAAUUUGCAUAAGACUGAUGAGUUGGCUAGGAACGUUGAUAGAAUUUCUCUUGAUGUUGAUUCUUUGAAACUUAGAUCUAUUCCACCUAAGCAUGAUAUCAAUGAGUAUCUCAAAACCAUGAGAAUUUGCAUUGAUGAGUGCAAAGAAAGAACCGCUAGGAUGCGUGCUAAGAAAGAUUCCUUUAUAAGAGCGUGUUCUUCUAGUUUCCAUGAUAAUAAAGAUGAAGAUCUAAAAGUUAUUGAUGUGUCCCCUAUUAAAUCUUUGUUUUGCAAUAUGAAUCUUGAUAAUGAUGGGACUGAAUAUGAUCCACCUUUACCUAGAAGGCGUUCCAAAAAUUCGGAGUUUUUAGAUCUUGAUGCUAAAAUUUAUAAAAGUGGGAUUAAAGAGAUCAAAACUCUAGAUACUAAUGAACCUACUAUUCGGAGUUUUUAUUGUAUUUCCUUGUUGCAAUCCGUGUUAAAUUCUCCUCAUGCUUAUAGUCAAAAUAAAGCUUUUACCAAACAGUUAUCAUGAACAACUUCAACUAAAUGCAUCAAAUGUUACAAAUAAUACAUACAAACUUAGUUUAAUAAAUUAAUGAAUUAAAGCGAGAACAAACCUUCAAAUGUAAUUUAGAGUGAAUCAAUUAAGACCAUGUAAAGCUAUUACUAGUCCAAUAUUAAUUAAUAACUUGCACAUAAUUGCAACCAUUGACAUAAAAAGGGAAUAUGAUGAGUCAUGUAUUGAGAAUGUGUACAACAUUACUACCAUUGACAUAAAAGGAGAAUUUGAUGAGUCGUAUCAGCUUGUUCAUCUUACCAUUAUACUACACAACACUGCAAGCUAGUUUAAAAAAAAUAAGAGUACAGAAUGAACAUUAGAAUAGCCUGAUCUAUCUUUGACAACAUGCACAAGGAUACAAAUUUAGUCCCCCGCAAGCUAUGAAGAUUUGGUUUAUGUCUAACAACUUGUACAACAAGAUAAACUUAGAUCCAAAAGGAUUGCAAUCCAGAUAAUUGUUUGACAUGUAAAGUCGAUAAGAUGAGUCAGUGCCAAUUAUCAUGUUUUCGUCACUCUUAGAUGAUAUGUACAAUAAAAGGCAACUUUGAUGACCACUCCAAAAUUACAUUUGUAUGUAGUGCCACCAAACACAACACACCAAAUAAUCAGUUUGAUAAGCAUCAAAUCACUUUAAAAAAAUAAAAGCUAUAAUGAAAAGAAACCUAACCAUGGUAGCUAUAAAAAGGAUGCAAUAUGUAGACUCCAUACCAUCAUCCAUCCUUCACACAACUAGAGCACAAGUAUCAAAUCCAAUUAAGUAGUAGCCAACACAAAUCCACCAUGAAGACCUUAUUCAUCCUAACAAUCCUUGCGAUGGCAACAACUAUCGCCACCGCGAAUAUGCAGGUCGACCCCAGCGGCCAAGUACAAUGGCCACAACAACAACCAUUCCGCCAGCCCCAACAACCAUUCUACCAGCAACCACAACACACAUUUCCCCAACCCCAACAAACAUUCCCCCAUCAACCACAACAACAAUUUCCCCAGCCCCAGCAACCACAACAACAAUUUCCGCAGCCCCAGCAACCACAACAACCAUUUCCCCAGCCCCAACAAGCCCAACUACCAUUUCCCCAACAACCACAACAACCAUUCCCCCAGCCUCAACAACCCCAACAACCAUUUCCCCAGUCACAGCAACCACAACAACCUUUUCCCCAGCCCCAACAACCGCAACAAUCAUUCCCCCAGCAACAACAACCGUUGAUUCAGCCAUAUCUACAACAACAGAUGAACCCUUGCAAGAAUUACCUCUUACAACAAUGCAACCCUGUGUCAUUGGUGUCAUCCCUCGUGUCAAUGAUAUUGCCACGAAGUGAUUGCCAGGUGAUGCAGCAACAAUGUUGCCAACAACUAGCACAGAUUCCUCGCCAGCUCCAGUGUGCAGCCAUCCAUAGCGUCGUGCAUUCCAUCGUCAUGCAGCAAGAACAACAACAAGGCAUACAGAUCCUCCGGCCACUGUUUCAGCUCGUCCAAGGUCAGGGCAUCAUCCAACCUCAACAACCAGCUCAAUAUGAGGUGAUCAGGUCAUUGGUAUUGAGAACCCUUCCAAACAUGUGCAACGUGUAUGUCCGACCUGACUGCUCCACCAUCAACGCACCAUUUGCCAGCAUAGUCGCCGGCAUCAGUGGACAAUGAAAAAUGAAGAGUUAUGCUAAUAGGUAGAUGGAUCAUCGUUGCUUAGCUGAUGCACUAGUCUUUGUAGCGAUGAGGAAUAAAGUGGCGUGCACCAUCAUGUGUGACCCCGACCAGAGCUAGUUCAAGCUUCAGAAUAAAACACAAACAAAGUUCUUGUUUGCUAGCUUCGCUUUUCACUGUUCCAUUUACUUUUUAUUUUCAUGUUCGUUCCUAACCGCAAUCCUAGCCUUACACAUCAAUAGCUAGCUACUUCUGCUGGCAGGUUACUAUUUAAUCUAUCGAUUAAUGGUCGAUGUAUUAAUCCAGUUAAUAGGUUGAUUGAUAUAUUAGUUACUGCUCCCAAGCCGACCGAGCGCUAUCAGUUAGGGAUUUCCUGAACAUUGCACACAAUAAUAAUUCAAUGUAUUUCAAUGUCUAGAAGUGAAAGGGCCAUUUUAGCACCAAAACAAGAGGCUGAUUAGAAACCAUCCAUCACUCUAAAUGUUAAUCUGAAUAUUUUUGCAUUGGUGCGAUUUUGAGUUUGGUGGCACCGAAGCAUUCUUCAAAAGCAAAUUUUAGGGGACUCCAAAGAGGUGAAAAUCAAACCAAAGUUGCCACAUGGUAAAAGAUAAACCAUGCGGUGAGCAAGAGAAAAUAAUUAGUCACAAUAGCAAGAACCAAACACUUGAUAUGAUUUCGUGCAGAGAUGGAAACAAUUUAUAUAUGACAAACAAAGCAUAAGUUGCAUUAGUUUUAAUUGAUUGUAGAAAUUUCUUUUACCUGUAGAAUAACUCAGUUGUUAUCUCUUUAAACAUGCAUUGUGAUAUUGACUUGUCUCAAUCUAUGAACACAAAGCAAAUAUUGCAUUUGCGGUUAUGGUCUCCAAACAGAUGAGAAAUCAGUCUGUGUAGAAAGUUCCUUAGAAGGAUAUGUUCUGAAUCAAGGAAAUAUUGUAGGAGUAAGAACUGGGGAAAGUAGUGGCUGCACCCACUCUCGGUGCACCCAUGGUGCACUCACGCAAGAAAACAUAUCAAAACAUUUCGAAAAAAAUCUGAAACUUCGUGGAGAUGAUCAUCAACAAAUGUCAUGAGGGCUUGCAAAGUUUGGUGGUCAAAUAACAUUCGAGAAGCGCUCUACAAAAAAGACAAAAUUGCAAAAUAUGCUCAAAUAGUGCACAUACAUUUUGACUAAUUUUCAGUGAUUUUGUCUUUUUUGUAGAGAGCUCCUCGAAUGUUAUUUGACCACCAAAUUUUGCAAGCCCCCAUAACAUUUGUUGAUGAUCAUUUCCAUGAAGUUUCAGAUUUUUUCAAAAUGUUUUGAUAUGUUUUCUUGCGUGGAUGCACCGUGGGUGCACCGAGAGUGGGUGUAGAAGAACCACUCUCGUAAGAAACUGGAAUGGGGAAAAACUGGAGCGCCUUAUCCAGCCUCCUCUCUAUAUUCUACAUCGAUAUCGUCUGUUACAUCUUAGCCCCCAACUGUUACAUGUUCACACAUUUAUAUAACUCAACAGGAUAUAAUAGUUUUGAGCUAAACAAAUUUACUAUUGUACUCGUGUCUUGCAUAGUUAAAGUUGAAAAUCAACAUAAGCAGUGGAUAGUUUGAAAGACAAGUGUGGGAAACAAAUAGUAGGAUAUAAAUUUGAGUAGAAUGUGUGAUCAAUUGUUGACCACAUAGCCCAGCAAACUACUAAAACUAAGCAAAACAAGAUAUUCUACCUUGUACGAACUGUCACAAUGAUAAAACUAUGAUUUGUUUUUGAAAAAUCUGUAGCCCGGAACUAAUAUAAAUUCAAACAAAUCUGUCACAGAUCCCUGAGCCCAUCCAAAAAUUAAUGGUAGUGGAAACUGAAAGAAGUAUUAACCCGAUUAGACCCAAAUGAUCUAUGUUCCAACAAUUAAUGAUAGUUGAAACUAAAACACGAGUGGUCUAUGUUCUACUAGCUAUGUGUAUAAAUAUAAGACGUUUGACAGUUUAAAUUGAACUGCCAAAAUGUCCUAUAUUAAGGAACAGUGGGUGUACCAAGUAUAUUCUAUGGUCCAAAUUUGUUCAUGUAAAGUGUAUCUUUAACUGAUGCCCUAAAAAAAUAGCAGUGUAAUCAGCCGAGUAAAAGAUUUGUGGAGUAAAUUUACUCAACUAAGUUUUGGCUGCACCUAACCGAUCUCCUAAAUUUAGCGGAAGUAAUAUUUUUUGUCAAAUUCAUUUCAUUUUCAGCCACCGAAAUAUAUCGGAAUACACAAUUCACAAAUUCUUCAUGAAAAAAUGAAACCAAAAAAACUAAAACCACAAUUAGACACUUUAAUAGAAAUUCAACUUCCAUAACUGCUGCUGAAAGUUGGUAAACAGAUUUCAGACUUAGUGAAAUUAACGCUUGUCUGGAAUUUCAGAUCAGAUAGCACUCUUUGGAGCAUGAAAACAAUAUGCUACAGGACCUGAACAUGACAAAGUAAAGCAUGCCAUGGAGCUACUCAAAGAGCUUAACAAAAGUCCCUUAGUGACCUUAAGCCAAAAGGGAUCAGAAAAUACAUUUGCAAGCAUGUGAACAUGGCAAAAACAUAAUCAAUUUUCAGAGCUGCCUGCCACCUUGGCAUUGCCCAACAACCAUUUUCGCAGCCAGUUCCACAGCAACCACAACUAGUCCUGAAGCGGCCACAAGAAUCUUUUCCAAAACAGCCUCAAGAAACCUUCCAUCCAUCACUUCAUCAAAAGUUGACCCCGUGCAAAGUGUUCAUCCAACAGUUGCACAUCAUGGUGGCAACACCACCAUUCCUUGAAUCACGGGUGUUGACGAAAAGCGGCUGCGAAGUGAGGCAGCAGCAAUGCUGCCAACAACUCACCCGGAUCCCUAUGCCAUCCCGAUGCCAAGCCAUAUGUGGCCUAGUGCACACCAUCAUCAUCGAGAAGCAACAAGAGCAACGGCAACAACGACCACAACUAGGACACGGUUCCCCCCAGCGUCAGUAGGAACGACUAGUCCAGUUUGAGGCUACGAUGAGCACCGCGCUUCAAACCCUGCCUACAAUGUGCGACGUGCGCGUGAUGCCAUGUUGCAUCGUGGCCACCAGCACCACCAUCCCGCCAGCCGGCGAUAUCAGCGAGUGAUAAGAAGAGAAAGGUUGUGGUACAAUAUAUAUGUAGCACCGACCAAGCCGAUGGAUCAAUCCUCUAGAGCUGAUACGAAUGAACGCAUUGAAAUGCACCUGUCAUGUACUCCCUCUGUUCCAAAAUAGAUGACCCAAUUUUAUACUAAUUUUUUACUAAAGUUAGUACAAAGUUGAGUCAUCUAUUUCGGAACGGAGGGAGUAUGACCCUUUCCACAAAAUGAGCUCAUUAAUUAUAUGUCCACGAUAAACACGCAAUACAUCACUCGAUGGCUCAGAUGGACGGCCAAACUUCAUAGAAGGUUUAACCAUGGGUAUCUCAAUCUCACCCCUGUUUUAACCCAGGGACCUGGGUAAGCAAAUAGGAUGAACUAGAAGGACUCGAAUCAAUAGUUCCACGGGCAUCAGGGGAGUGAGGAAGCAGAAUAAAAAGCUCAUCCUUUUGGUUAUCUGCAGAGAGUCUUCCGUCCCCUCCAACAAACCUUCUCCUCACCCUCCAAUGGCGGCCGCGACCUCCUCCUUCGCCACGCUCGUGAGCUCCCUCCCCUCCUCCUCCUCCCCCCUUCUGCUCGGACCCGCCUGGUCUCCCUCCUCCUCCUCCGCCUGAAUCUUGUGCUGUGUGUGCUGUUCUUUCUUGCAGGCCAUCGCCCGCCCGGCGGCGGCGGGGCCGGCGGCGCAGAGGGCGCUCCUCGCCUCGAAGGCCCCCUCGUCGGCGCUCUCCCUCCGCGGCGGCCGCAUCGCGUCCCCGGCCCUCUCCGUCUCCCAGCAGAGCCGCGCGCGCUUCGUCCCCUCCGCCACCGCCGAACCCUAUGUAAAGAUUCAGCAUUUAUUUAUCUAUUUAUCUAUCUGGCCACAAGGGCCGCAAUCUAUGUGGAGCUUGCAUAUCUAUUACCAAAUUGCAAUCUAGUAGACGUGUAUCCUUUGCCUUCCGAUGCGAACAUCCACACAAUUUGGUAUAUUCAUGAGAAAAAUUAGUUCACUCCCCGAGUUUUCGUGUGAAGAAAUGCAAGUUGAGAUUUACCAUCAGUUACUUCCUUCUGUAAUAAACAUUAGGCUCUGUGCACGACGGGCAUGCCAUGUGUUUAUGUUAGUCCAUUAGGUUCAGUUAGUGUUAGUCGUCAGUGGUCUGAGGAAUCAAAUGUGCAGCUAUUUCUAUCUAGAUACUGUGGCCGCUACCUGUGUAAAGCCUGCGUAUCUGGCGCACCGCUCCUGGUUCAGCCAGGAAGCCCAUUGCAGUCUAGUAGACAUGUAGUGUGUGCCUUCGGAUGUGACUUCCAUGCCAUUCCUUAUGUUAUUUGGUAUCUGUAAUUUUCAUGCGAAAAAUCAGGUCACUAACUGAAAUUUUUUGUGUGCGUGGACAAAUUUGCAAGUUGAGGUUUUAUCAUCACUUACUUAUGAUAACCGCCGGGUUAUGCCAGUGUUAGAUGCAGAGUACCAUCAGCAUGUGUUAGUGUUUAGUUUAUUAUGUCCAGUUACUGUUAGUUGCCGGCCGUCUAAGGGAAUAAAUGUGCCACUGUAUGGUUUACACAAUAUGCCAUUUUUGUGGUUGCAUUGGUGGGUGUCUUUUACCUUAUUAUAUGUCAUACAUUUCAUGGUGUUUGAAGCUGUUCUUUCAUCAUGCAUUGCAGGCACCUGAGCUUCAGUCCAAAGUUACAAACAAGGUGUACUUUGACAUAAGCAUUGGCAACCCUGUCGGGAAGAACGUUGGGAGGAUUGUCAUCGGGCUGUAUGGGGAUGAUGUUCCCCAAACCGUUGAGAACUUCCGUGCUCUCUGCACUGGUACGAGAGACUGUUGGAGCCCUCUUCUGUUAUCCCAUCUGUAAAGGAUUGCUCUGAUGAGGUAUAUGACCAAUUUCUCCUUUUUGUACCAGGGGAGAAAGGGUUCGGAUACAAGGGAUCAAGUUUCCACCGUGUCAUUAAGGACUUCAUGAUUCAGGGGGGAGACUUUGACAAGGGCAACGUAUGCGUUUCCUACCUUCAUCUAUUCUUGUUUGUUGCACGUGCAUGCUUAUGCUGUAUUGCGAUUGCAUUAAGAAAAACUAAAGAGUGUACUACCUGUUUUGCACGUAAUCGUUUCGCACGAAUGUACCUGUUUCUGUUUGUUGAUAGUUAUGCUAGUUCUUCCUCUCCUUUUCUUCUGAAUUGUAUAGUUUAGCUAUUUGAGUACUCUGUGCUGUUUAAGCAUUAUUUUACGGACCAGAGGGACUGGGGGAGAAGGAUAGGGAGUUUAAAUCCUUUACUACUAGCUUUGCUCGUGUACCGGCAUUCAAUUUGUUAUCGUGCUGCAUUUUGAUCCUGGAUCUUAUCCAUGUUUGAUUGUCAUUAAUAACUUGCACAAGUGCAUCCUACUCUGUUUUGUUGUCAGUGGCCUUGUGGUAAGAAUUCAAGGUGAUUGCCAUCGCGCCAUCCUUUCCCAUAUUGAGGCAUACAUGAUUAUGUGUUUCAUCUGCAUUUUGAUCUACUUAUGCAUGGCUGGCUGAAGUACUUUGAGACAUCAGAUUGCCUAAAAUGAAACAUGCAGCUUCCAACAAUGGCAUUGAAUAACUAGAAACUGAUAUUUUUCAGGGUACUGGAGGGAAAAGCAUAUAUGGCCGCACCUUUAAGGAUGAGAACUUCCAAUGUAUGUGUUGCAAUGAACCUUUGUCACUCAAUCUUUGCUUCAGAUUAUAUGCUAACUGAUUAUAUAUUAUUUAAUGUUCUUAGUGGUUCAUACUGGACCUGGAGUGCUCAGCAUGGCGAAUGCUGGACCGAACACCAACGGCAGCCAAUUCUUCAUCUGCACAGUCAAGGUAAUUAAUUGUUUACUUCCUGCUAUCAGUCAGUCCAUUUGAAUAAUAGUACCCUUUUUCCAUUGCUAAGUUUGAAGUUCAUAUAAAUCCCCGAUUGAGGUUUCUCCUACCUUGCUUGCAGACACCGUGGCUGGACGGGAGACACGUUGUCUUUGGCCAGGUUCUUGAAGGCAUGGACAUCGUAAGGACGAUAGAGUCAUCAGAGACCGACAGAGGUGACCGUCCGAAGAAGAAGGUGGUCAUUAGUGAGUGCGGGGAGCUUCCAGUGGUCUGAGUUUUAUUUAGAUGGCUAUCACCUUCCAUCUGCGCAUCUUGAUUUUGCUGUGGACUUGUUACUUGUCUUUCUCCAAGUAGUUAGAGACCGCACUGAGUUGAACUCGAGAUUUCUACUCUGAGGCAUACGGCAUUCAUCAACUGUUCGACUGGAAUAAGAAUGUGAUUGCUUUCCUGAACCUGUUUUGUAGCAUUGCUCAUGGUAGAUAAUGCCUUGUGAAUUUUUUGGCGGAUCCAUGAAAUGCCUAGAUAUCUCUAUCUAUUCGUUUUUAUCUGCUAAAUUUCCCUGAAGAGCUGCAAACAAAUUAUGCCAUGUAAAGGCUCGGUAUCAUUCCUGGCAAUUCCAGUUCCGACACUUGUCAUGAGCAAAAUUUAGCAAACACAACCUGCUGAUUAUCUGAAUGAUUCGCGCAACAAUACAAACUUAGUUUGGCAGACCAACAGAAUAUUGAUCAAAGCUUCACAUGUGUACUGUAAAGCCUUUGACAUGUAAAGGGAAUUUGAUGAAUCAUGUCAUGCUCCACUUCUGCAAGUCACACUGUACUAUAAAGUCUUGUGUAUCGUUACAGGCCACACAAGACUACAAACUUAGUUCAAUGCAAGGCAUGCUAGUCUGGUUUAUGCGUACAAACUAGUUUCAGAGACUCCGAUGCAAUCUAGAUUGAUGUUUGACAUGUAAAGUGAAUAACAUGAGUUAUGCCAAUCUUCUAUAUCUAAAUAGCUAGCCCCCAUUAACUAUUUCUCUCAACAUGCAAGCAUGCCACAUCAUACGCACAACAUGCAUGAGAAGAGCCUCACCUCCACUAUCAUAUGUCUCUCAACAUGCAAGCAUGUCACUUCAUCAUGAAACAUGCAUCAUAACAUGCAAAAAUACAUGAGAAUUUUAUUAUAUCAUGCUAUUUAUAUUUAAUAAACAUUUUACAACAAAUAUUCAUGUUUCAAACGACGAAUCAAAUAGAAAUAUGUUGCAAAGUAUUCCCACAACAACGUGCGGGAUAUCAUCUAGUUUAUAAAGCUUUGGUGGCAGUGGAGUGAUAUGUGCAACAACAAAGAACUUUGAUGAGAAAUCCAAGAAUACACUUAUAAGUAGUGUCCCCAAACACAACAUACGAAAUGAUGAGUUGAGAAGCAUCCCCGCACUUUCCAAGAAAAGUAAUUGCAAAGAUGAAAACAAACAAUGCCAUGGUAGCUAUAAAUAGGCAUACACCAUCAAGAUCCUCCAUCAUCCACCAUUCACAUUAGAGAACAAACAUCAAAGCCAAGCAAACAAUAUCCAACAUAAAUCAACUAUGAAGAUCUUCCUUGCGCUUGCCUUUCUUGCUGCUAUGGCUACCAACGCCAUAGUCACCACUGAUAUGAAACUACCCCAGUUGCAACCACAAAAAUCAUUUUCACAACAACAACCCUUUCCACAACCACAACUACUCUUUCGAGAGGAGCAAUCAGCUCCACAACAAUAGCCAUUUCCACCACAACAGUUACCAUUUGGGCAACAACAAUUUCCACAACCACCACCCUAUCCCCCACCGCAACAACCACUCUAUCCCCAACCACAACAACAACCAUUCCCACAGCAACAUGAACAACCAGCUCAGG
rnacentral:lncRNA from 1 species